rnacentral:rRNA from 1 species
AAAUUGAAGAGUUUGAUCAUGGCUCAGAUUGAACGCUGGCGGCAGGCCUAACACAUGCAAGUCGAACGGUAACAGGAAGCAGCUUGCUGCUUCGCUGACGAGUGGCGGACGGGUGAGUAAUGUCUGGGAAACUGCCUGAUGGAGGGGGAUAACUACUGGAAACGGUGGCUAAUACCGCAUAACGUCGCAAGACCAAAGAGGGGGACCUUCGGGCCUCUUGCCAUCAGAUGUGCCCAGAUGGGAUUAGCUUGUUGGUGAGGUAAU